CCUGUUGAGAGAACCAAUAUUAUUGUGUGAGUGCACUUUGGUCAUGUAGUAAAUUUAUUGAUUAGCCCCUGGGCCAUAUCACAGUACCGAACCAAAUUAUGGUCAUGUAUUAUCAGCACUUUGGGAUGUUGUGUUAUUUGGAAAUGUAUAACUGGAAUUGGAUUAAAAAGCAUAAGCCUUGAAAUUUUAGUCAAAAAUUAACUUUAAAAACUAGGUUGACUAAUCUGUGUGUGUGUUUGUUUUUUUAAAAGGAACAUCUCCUUCUAUGAACAGAGUGGCAAAAGGCAAGAGCUUAGUCUGUCUUGGGAGAACGUUAAAGAAACACUGACUCUUCUCUCUGCCAUGGUGACACUUUUGGCCUUUUUGAAUGCUUGGGUGGGGAAAUGGUGAUGGUGGUGCUUUCCUCUCUCUGCAAAAUGAUCCUUGAUCUAUCCAAACGUUUUAUCAAGAAUUGUAAUUUUGGCCACAAAACCUGGCCUGGAUUUAUACAUGAGUAUAUAUAGUAAUUAGAAUUAACUUCAGCUUUUAACAAUUAUAUCUUUUUUGUUCAGGCUCAGAAUUGCAAUGGAUCUCAUACUACUGUUCUGCCAGGCUUGUUGUAGUGAGGUGAGAACAUGCUGAGCUUUUGCUUUAAAUAGAGUAAUAGAAUAUGAGUGUGAAAAUGUGAAACUUUCAUCAGCCUUCAAGCAACCAUGAUUCCUUCAGAAUACUAGUCCUUUUGGCUAAUGUCUCCACACUUCAGUAUCGUGGAUAGAUAUUGUUGGAGUCUUUCUAAAUGUCAAGGAGGGUUGUCUUUCAUUUUUCCUCUUAUUUUUUCUUGAUUUUGCUUUCUGGCUUUUUAAAAAAAAUCAUUUUAUUUAUAAUUAUUACAGUACAAUAAAAAUAACAGGAGGGAGACAAGUAUACUCCAAAAGAAAAAAAGGAAAAAAGAAAAAAAAUAAUAUACGAAGAAACCCCAAAGCCCUCCCUCCUCUCUGUGUUAUCUUCCAGCUCCACUGCUCUGCGGUUUGCUUCUUAUCUUUCCUGUUUUUUCCGAACUUAUUUUCCUUAGACCUGAGACUGGCUUUUUACAUUACUGUAUUUACUCGAAUCUAAUCCUCCUUUUUUUUUGGCUAAAUGACCUUGCAAUUGGAUUUGAUUCCAAUAGUCAUCUUAGUAUUGAGCCAAAGCAAAAGAGAAGCUGCCUUAGGAGGAGCACCUGAAGCUCCUCUUUGAGGGAUGUUAUCUUUAAUUAAAGGCCAGGGCUCAAUGUUAUGCAUCCCUGGAAUUUGCCUUACCUGGGAUUUGGUAAUGCAAUCCUCUUUGGCAGAGAAGGCUCAAAACUUUGUCAAACUACAGCCUCCAGGAUUCCAUAGCAUUGAAUCAAGGCAAUUAAAUUGGAUUCAUUCUACAGCAUAGAUGUACCCCAAGUUUGUUUUUUUUCUGUCGCUGGAAGAAAUUAUAAGCAUGCAGCCACUGUAAUUCAUACCUUUUUUUGGCCAAAUUACGAAGAGUACACUUUUUGCCACUGCACAUCACAUUCGGAAGCAGAUACUCCUUUUUUUGGCUUCAGGGUUUUGAAAAUUGAGGUGUGCAUUAGAUUCAGUAGUUCAUUAGACUCAAGUAAAUAGAAAUAUUUUGGGCAAGCCCCUUUAUUCUUCUUGGAUAUGUAUAUUACACAUUGGAGGGCACUUGAAUCAUUAUGUGGAAAAUUAAAUUUAAUUAAUUAAAAACUUGAAGUUAAUUAAGUGAGAAAUCUUCACCUCUACCUCAUAGUUUAACUCUCUCCAGCUUUCCCCCAUCCCUUUCUUUCAUGGUUCACGCACUUUGAGGAGUUUAGUAAACACUUGGAAUUAGCAGAUAGGACAGAUGAUGCUUUUUCACCCAUCUAGAAUCAUGGGUUUAUUACAGGCUUAGUUUUAUUUUUAAAAAUGUGGAUGCCAUGGUCUAAAAUGUGGGGGGUCCCUGGUUCUUGCAUGCACUGGCACAGAUUUUUCAGAUCACAAAAAUUAAUUAGGAGUGGGAAAGCAGAAAAGAUGCACUUAUUUAGUUGUGUUUAAAAAUGUUACUGUAUAUAUCUAUAUCCUUAAAUGCAUUCAAAACAGACCUCAUAAAUAAUUCCCCACCCUUGUUUCAUUCAGUGAUCUUUGUAGCCAGCCAUUUAUGUUUGCACUUUGAAGUGGAUUAAUGUCCCCAAGCUGAAAUAAGCACCUUAUCUCUUAUUAGGUUUAACAUCAUUUCUAGUUGAGCCUUUACUGAACAAACAGUUGGAAGGAGUUGUGCCCCGUAUGCUUGGUAUUCAUAGGUACUUCCAGCUACAGCCCAAAGAAAGCCAUCCAUGUGGAUCUGGGUUAAAAUCAUUGGAACAACUCUAAAUAGAGAAUUUGUGAACAUUUCCCUCCAGGUGAAUAGUUAUACUCUGUAACUAUUCACCCUUGCACAAUAACAUAACUAUUUGCAAGCAAUCAAAGUCUUACCAUAACAACUUUAAAACAAGCAUGUCUCAGCAUAGUAUUACCAGAAAUAAAGUUCAAAGAAGAGAAAAGAAAGACACUCAUGAAGUAUGAGCAAAUGAGAAACUCCACAGGUGCAAAGUACAAAUGGUGGUUUUUAUCAUUUUUAAACAGCAUGCUUGGCUAUUGGGAAAUUGGAUUGAGAUGUCAGAAACGUGCCGGUAACAUUCAGCUUCCUUUUUUUUUUGUUCAGAACAGUGGGAGUAUCAAUGACUGGCUAUGGUUAAAAAACCAGAUGAUGAGUGAUGAAGCUGGAGUUCAGACCAUAGAAGAUCAAGGCAUUGAUGGUGAAAUGUUUACACAUAAGGGGUAGUAGUGUUCCAGCUGUGUUGAUUCAAGACGUACAUCACCCAAUAGCAGGCCUGCAUAGCCUGGGGCUUAUCAGGUGUUUGGGACUCACUCUCAGAAGCCCUAGCCAGCUUGUGCAAUGGUCAGGGAUUCUGGGAGCUGAUAUCCAAAACGCCUGGAGGGCUGCAGAUUGUGCCAUACAGGAUUAGAUUUGGAGCUUGAAAGGUGUUGGUCCAGAGUUUUAUUAGAGCCAUGUGUGGCCUCUGUGGCUUGGGCAUUUUUGUUGGCUUCACAUUUAUAAAAUAACUGCAACUUUAUCUGAAUAGAGAUAGUAUUUCUUAUGCUACCCAUACAUUAUCUCCUAUGAGACUACAGUGCAAUUGGUCCCAAUUUGUCAACAUGUCUCCCAUAGGGAUCACAUCACUGCCUUGUUAUCUGUGUGUGUUUGCCUCCCAGUAUUUUUCUACACAGACAUUAUGAUCAUCUUCAAUGUCCUGUUUUCAGUUGCUACAGCUGACUGAGGUGCAGAGAAUAACUACUAAGUAGAGGACAUUCAGCAUGCACAGGAAGUAACAGGGCAAGGUAUCCUCCACUGAAAAUUGCAAAGAUUACAGAGUAUGUUGUAAGCAGAGGCUGGCAGGAGCUGGAGUUAACAGCGGGCGCUCAAGCCACUCCCGGGAUUUGAACCUGAGACUUUUCGGUCUGCAAGUUCAGCAGCUCAGCGCUUUAACACACUGACCCACCGGAGGCUCCAGGCUGCUACAUAUAAGCAUCUAAUUGCUAGAUCACUAUGCACUAUUAGGGAAACAUGUUGUAAUCUUAUUGUAAAAGACACACAAGAGAAGACCUAAGUGUUGUAGCCCAGUGAUAGUGUAGUCCAGUUGUAGCUCCAUUGUAGAGCAUGUGCUUUGAUUUCAAAAAGAAAUUUGUUUGAAACUUUGGGGGAAUCACUGCUAGUCCUUGACAACAAAAUGGAACAGGAUGGACCAGAUAAGUUUGAAGCAGCUUCCUUAACAGUUGUCUUUAAGAGAAAAUUAAAUUGGCCAUUAUUUGACAUAUUUGUUUACGUAUAUGUAAAAUAAUUUUUAACUACUUAAUAAUGAACAUACACAAUAAACAAGCCUCUCAGUUGGCAGCAUCAUUCCAAAAUAAACAAACAAACUCCUCAGUUGGCUGUAUGCAAUUUGGUGUACAUAUACUGGAAAACUGUGGCCAUUUCCUCUUAUCUUCAUUUCCAAAUUAUGUGUUUGUUCUUCAGGAUUUUUGGAGAGCUGCUUUAUUAAAUGCAAUCAGAAUUAUGAUUCAAGGUCUCAUCCCCAGCUCCACAAGUGGCUUAAUGGUAAGUCCCAGUUGCCUGUCCCAUGCUGAUCCCAUAUUUUUCUUGCUUUGUAAUGGCCCUUGGGUGGGGAAUUGGGACCUUCAGUUGUUAAACCCUGUUUAAUAAUGUUUUGAAUUAUUAAACAAAAAUCAAAGGAAUUGAUUUCAUUCUGUCUCUUGCACUUUGCACAGCCAACUCUUUGGGGAGACCCCCUCCCAAAAAAGUCCCUUUAAAAAACACCUUUUCCCAGCUAUUUUGCUUCUCUGAUAUUUGGAAAAUGAAGACAUUUUAAAUACCACCACCACCACCACCACCACCACCACCAAUAAUAAUAAUAAUAAUAAUAAUAAUAAUAAUAAUAAUAAUAAUAAUAAUAAUAGCAGCUUUGCUUAAUAAAAUCAUUUGUAAAUAUUGGAACGUGUGUCCUAUUGUGUAAUGAACAAGUAAGGAAAUAAGCAUAUUUUGCUCUAUGCAAUUUUACUGAAAGCUGAUAUAAAUAAGAGAACGUAUUUUUCAUAGAAUUAUAGAAUAAUAAAGUUGGAGGAGGCCAUCCAGUCCAACCCCCUGCCAGUCUAUAUCUUUUUAAAGAAGGCCUGACUCAACUAUAUAUAUAUACUAAUUAACAUGUAAAUAUGUCCCUGAGACGAAGAAAUAGAGCAUAUUCUGUCUCAUUAUUCACAUCUUUCCUAAUAUUCUUGAUGCUGCAUUACUCCAAAAACUGUGUUUCCAGGAAACUACUUCAUAAUCCAGAAUUAGCUUAUUUUUUCCAUGUCUAUUAUUUGCUAUUGUUUGAUCAUUUUGUGUUCAUAUAUUUGACACAAAUAUUUUAAUGAAGUUUCAGAUUUCUUUUAUGUCAUGAACCACAAGCAACUUUAUAAUGAACUAUAUGUACAAGAUCUAAGCUGCUUUUUCUCCCUAUCCCCAGACACACUGGAUUUGUUUGAUAUUGAGAUUGUAAUAAAGACAAUUCAAAACCAAAGAA